CUUCACAUCAGCCUUCAUGAAGAACAAAAGUUGUCUCAUUUUGUUUGACUUCUAAAUGUGUCUGUGCAGUUGUGUUUAUCUUUGCUGGCCCUCUGACUGCGGCUGCACACGAUCAGGACUGUGGUGAGCUGUCUAAACCUCUGCAGGAUCAAAGUCAGGUACGUUUCAGCUCAGCAUCAAUAUUUAGGAAAGAGAAGAACAAAGAUUUGAUUUGUUUUACAUGCUUGAAAGCAAAAACUGCUUUGACAUCACAUUAAUACUCUAGGAGCUAACUUUGGUAAUGGAAAGAGGAAGUUGCAGAGGAAAGAAAACUAAAAAAUGUGGAAGCAAUGAAAAAUACAGUGUUGUUUUUGAAAUGAUAUCAAUUCUACAGUUAAAAAAAAAAACAUAAAUGAAUAUGUCAUGUUAAUUAUAAGUAAUUCUAAAAUUGUAGUCAUAUUUUUGAGCGUAGCCUGCAUAACCUUGUACAUGUGGAUUCACACAGUGAAAUAAAAUAACACUGCAUUACUGUGCUAAUGAUUAGGCUCAUAUAACCAUGUUAGGUCCCACUGUUUGCACACAUAGGAAGAUCUGAUAUACAGUGAAUGAACUGGCCUCCAUUUACACAAACAAUAAACAAGACAAGAUACAUGAGGCAGAGUGAUGACAGUGUUCAGUACUAAAUGAGAAACCCUCAGCAGAAAUGUAAAUAGAUAAAAGGUAGAAAUAAAGUUUAUUAACAAAUAAAAACACCUGAUUUUUUUUAAGUGUCAAAAAAAGGGCCAUCAGUAAAAAAGGAAAGGAUAAAAGAAUAGAAAUGUGGUUGUUUCCAGCUUUUAUCUGGUCUCACAGCACAGAGCAGUAAACCAGAAUCCACCUCAAGCUGACCUGUCCAGACUGCAUCCUGUUUGAAAACAGCUCAGUGAAAUGGAGCACAGAUGGGGUAACGGAAGGAAUAACCAAACUCCUCUUUGGUGAGUACUCAGAUUUCUCUACACCAGAGCGUAAAACCCCCAAAACUCAUACAGUUUAAAGGUCAUUUUUGUCAUUUUUAUUUUUAAAUCUUAUCUAGAUAACACUUCACUUCCUUCUACCCGGCAACAAAGACUGGGAAACUGGAUUAAACUAAUCUAGAAGUUUUCAGGAUGCAAGCCACAUGUCUCAAUAUAUCAGCGGAAAUGCCAAAGGUGACACACACAAAGAUGUGGUGAACACAAAGAUGUCUCUCUCUGUGUUCACCAUAACAUGUAAACAAAGGAUGAGUGCGUGUAUCAAUGGAGGAUUUUUAUAAAGGCAUUAGAGGGACAGUGAGCAACUGUAAAAUCUGCGUGUUUCAAACCAGAACUGAAGACUGGCAUCCCAGCACGCAGUUUUAUGACCUCAACACUAGUCUUUUCAUGUUGUUUACUUGCCUUUGGGGUCCCUUCAGGGGUGCACAGAAACAUGGCAGUGAGAAACUUCGACUGGAAUGCCUUCCUAACAAAAGUUGUCCUGUGUGCCAGCUGUGUGAAAGUUCAAACUCAGACUAAUUUAAACAUUUUUUUUUAAAUUUAGGAUGGAGUUUGCAUGCUACUAAAGUUUUUGGGUUUCACCAGCUGAGAUAAAUUCAACGUCAG
rnacentral:lncRNA from 1 species